UACGGAGGGUGCAAGCGUUAUCCGGAUUUACUGGGCGUAAAGGGCGCGUAGGCGGCCACCGCAAGUCGACUGUGAAAUCUCCGGGCUUAACCCGGAAAGGUCAGCCGAUACUGCGGGGCUAGAGUGCAGAAGGGGGCAACUGGAAUUCUCGGUGUAGCGGUGAAAUGCGCAGAUAUCGGGAGGAACACCAAUGGCGAAGGCAGCUCGCUGGGACGGUACUGACGCUGAGACGCGAAAAGCGUGGGGGAGCGAACAGG
rnacentral:rRNA from 1 species